AUAUCAAUAAGCGGAGGAAAAGAAACUAACAAGGAUUCCCCUAGUAACUGCGAGUGAAGCGGGAAGAGCUCAAAUUUAAAAUCUGGCGGCCUUCGGUCGUCCGAGUUGUAACCUGGAGAGGCAUUUUCCGCGUUGGACCGUGUACAAGUCUCCUGGAAUGGAGCGUCGUAGAGGGUGAGAAUCCCGUCCAUGACACGGACGUCCCAAUGCUCUGUGAUGUGCCUUCGAAGAGUCGCGUUGUUUGGGAAUGCAGCGCAAAAUGGGUGGUAAAUUCCAUCUAAAGCUAAAUAUUGGCGAGAGACCGAUAGCGAACAAGUACCGUGAGGGAAAGAUGAAAAGCACUUUGAAAAGAGAGUUAAACAGUACGUGAAAUUGUUGAAAGGGAAACGCUUGAAGUCAGUCGCGUUCCGUGGAACUCAGCCUUACCUCGGUUCGGUGUACUUUCCACGUGAACGGGUCAACAUCAAUUUUGGCCGGCGGACAAAGGCGAGGGGAAUGUGGCGUCGCUUCGGGGACGUGUUAUAGCCCCUUGUUGUAUGCGCCGGCCGGGAUUGAGGACCGCAGCACGCCCUCCGUGGCCGGGGGGGUUCGCCCCCUACGUACCGUGCUUAGGAUGUUGGCAUAAUGGCUUUAAGCGACCCGUCUUGAAACACGGACCAAGGAGUCUAACAUGCCUGCGAGUGUUCGGGUGGAAAACCCUUGCGCGUAAUGAAAGUGAAAGGUUGGGAACCCUUAGGGUUCCUUAGGGGUGCACUGACGCCCGGCCCUGAAGUUCUCUGACGGUGCUGCGGUAGAGCAUGUAUGUUGGGACCCGAAAGAUGGUGAACUAUGCCUGAAUAGGGCGAAGCCAGAGGAAACUCUGGUGGAGGCUCGUAGCGAUUCUGACGUGCAAAUCGAUCGUCAAAUUUGGGUAUAGGGGCGAAAGACUAAUCGAACCAUCUAGUAGCUGG
rnacentral:rRNA from 1 species